GGCUGGUUUGAAGGUAGUGAGUUAUCUCAAUUGAUUGUUCACAGUCAGAUACAGAUCGAACUCCUUGUUCUAUCUAUCCCCCCUUCUCACUACUGCACUUGACUAGUCUUAA
rnacentral:Y_RNA from 1 species